rnacentral:snoRNA from 1 species
AACCCAUAAUUUGGGCAUUUUCUAACAACACUUAGAAUCUCUCCCAUGUUUCACAGAAAGCUUCAUCUCACCCUUGUCUGAACAUAGAAAUAUCAAACUUAACUUU